AGCGAACGCUGGCGGCAGGCCUAACACAUGCAAGUCGAACGAACCCUUCGUGGUUAGUGGCGGACGGGUGAGUAACACGUGGGAACGUGCCUUUAGGUUCGGAAUAACUCAGGGAAACUUGCGCUAAUACCGAAUGUGCCCUUCGGGGGAAAGAUUUAUCGCCUUUAGAGCGGCCCGCGUCUGAUUAGCUAGUUGGUGAGGUAAUUGCUCACCAAGGCUACGAUCAGUAGCUGGUCUGAGAGGAUUACCAGCCACAUUGGGACUGAGACACGGCCCAAACUCCUACGGGAGGCAGCAGUGGGGAAUCUUGCGCAAUGGGCGAAAGCCUGACGCAGCCAUGCCGCGUGGAUGAUGAAGGUCUUAGGAUUGUAAAAUCCUUUCACCGGUGAAGAUAAUGACUGUAGCCGGAGAAGAAGCCCCGGCUAACUUCGUGCCAGCCGCCGCCGUAACAC
rnacentral:rRNA from 1 species